UACGGAGGGUGCAAGCGUUAAUCGGAAUUACUGGGCGUAAAGCGCACGCAGGCGGUUGGAUAAGUUAGAUGUGAAAGCCCCCGGGCUCAACCUGGGAAGUUGCAUUUAAAACUUAGUCCAGCUAGAGUCUUGUAGAGGGGGUAGGAAUUACCAGGUGUAGCGGUGAAAUAGCGUAGAGAUCUGGAGGAAUACCGGUGGCGAAGGCGGCCCCCUCGGACAAAGAACUGACGCUCAGGUGCGAAAGCGUGGGGAGCAAACAGGAUUAGAUACCCGCGUAGU
rnacentral:rRNA from 1 species